rnacentral:SRP_RNA from 1 species
UCGUGCUAGAUGGGGAGGUAGCGGUGCCCUGUACCUGCAAUCCGCUAUAGCAGGAUUGAAUACCUUCUUGAGGCUUGUUUUUGUAAGGUCUGGUCUGUGUAAGUGGCAAUGAAGAUCGGGUCCUGCGCAAUGUAACCCUAUGAACUCCGUCAGGUUCGGAAGAAAGCAGCGGUAAGUAGGCCCUUACGUGUGCCGCGGGAUAGCCUGAUUCGAGUUAACUGCACAGGUAUCGCUUAUAGAAGCAUGUCGAUAGAAGGUGCACGG